rnacentral:rRNA from 1 species
GAUGAACGCUAGCUACAGGCUUAACACAUGCAAGUCGAGGGACCGGCGCACGGGUGAGUAACACGUAUCCAACCUGCCCUUUACUCGGGGAUAGCCUUUCGCAAGAAAGAUUAAUAACCGAUAUAAAGGAUGGGGAUGCGUUCCAUUAGGUUGUUGGUGAGGUAACGGCCCACCAAGACUUCGAUGGACAGGGGUUAGGGGGGGAAGGUCCCCCACGUGGGAACGGAGACACGGUCCAAACUCCUACGGGAGGCAGCAGUGAGGAGUAUUGUUAAAUGGGCGUUAGCCUGAACCAGCCAAUUAGCGUGAAGGAUGAAGGCUUAUGGGUCGUAAACUGCUUUUAUAUAAGAAUAUGUAUUAUAUGAAUAAUGAGCGGCUAACUCCGUGCCAGCAGCCGCGGUAAUUC